rnacentral:rRNA from 1 species
CCUACGGGAGGCAGCAGUAGGGAAUCUUCCACAAUGGACGAAAGUCUGAUGGAGCAACGCCGCGUGAGUUGAGCAGGGUUUCGGCUCGUAAAGCUCUGUUGGUAGUGAAGAAAGAUAGAGGUAGUAACUGGCCUUUAUUUGACGGUAAUUACUUAGAAAGUCACGGCUAACUACGUGCCAGCAGCCGCGGUCAGCCGCAGGUUGCAAGCGUUGUCCGGAUUUAUUGGGCGUAAAGAGAGUGCAGGCGGUUCAAUAAGUCUGAUGUGAAAGCCUUCGGCUCAACCGGAGAAUUGCAGCAGAAACUGUUUAACUUGAGUGCAGAAGAGGAGAGUGGAACGCGAUGGGUAGCGGUGGAAUGCGUAGAUAUAUGGAAGAACACCAGUGGCGAAGGCGGCUCUCUGGUCUGCAACUGACGCUGAGGCUCGAAAGCAUGGGUAGCGAACAGGAUUAGAUACCCUUGUAGUC